rnacentral:rRNA from 1 species
AGUGAACGCUGGCGGUAGGCCUAACACAUGCAAGUCGAACGGCAGCACAGUAAGAGCUUGCUCUUACGGGUGGCGAGUGGCGGACGGGUGAGGAAUACAUCGGAAUCUACUUUUUCGUGGGGGAUAACGUAGGGAAACUUACGCUAAUACCGCAUACGAUCUACGGGUGAAAGCAGGGGAUCUUCGGACCUUGCGCGUUUGAAUGAGCCGAUGUCGGAUUAGCUAGUUGGCGGGGUAAAGGCCCACCAAGGCGACGAUCCGUAGCUGAUCUGAGAGGAUGAUCGGCCACACUGGAACUGAGACACGGUCCAGACUCCUACGGGAGGCAGCAGUGGGGAAUAUUCGACAAUGGGCGCAAGCCUGAUCCAGCAAUGCCGCGUGAGUGAAGAAGGCCUUCGGGUUGUAAAGCCCUUUUGUUGGGAAAGAAAAGAAGCAGGUUAAUACCCCGCUGUUCUGACGGUACCCAAAGAAUAAGCACCGGCUAACUUCGUG